GGAGAAUGGGGGUGGGGAGAGAACGCAGCCCCACUCACCGUAUAGUAACUGAAGGACACCGCAAUGACUACCAGCGACAAGAGAUUGCCUCUCUUGAAGACCCUCGCAGCCUCCAUGCUCGUUGGUGAAAGACCACCGACUGCUCAUCCAUCACACCCACUAGUUUCCUUAAUCCCUUAUGAAUGGAAUGCAUUUGACUUCAGCAGGGAUCAUGCAUUUUUAAAUCUGGAGACCACAAAGCCUUUUGUUGCAGAGCGGGAAACAGACCCGGAGCAAUGAAAUGACAUGCUCAAGGUCAGUGAGCUAGAAAGCGUCUUCUACGGAACCGAAACCAAUUGCUUACUCCAAGUCGCGCUCUACUCUCAUGUCCUGUAUCAAGACUAAUUAGGUGCUUUCAUAUUGUGCCUUUUUCUUAUUUGGCUUUUCAACUCCUAUCUGGCAACUUUGGGCUGUUCUUUCAAGUUUGUGCUAUUCUUGGGGAGAUCAGUUAUCUAAAGGUAAAAAGUCAUAAGCAAAAAAAUUGAAAAAUAAAGAUUACAGUCAAUAA